UGGGGAAUAUUGCACAAUGGGCGCAAGCCUGAUGCAGCCAUGCCGCGUGUAUGAAGAAGGCCUUCGGGUUGUAAAGUACUUUCAGCGAGGAGGCAGGCAUUAAGGUUAAUAACCUUGGUGAUUGACGUUACUCGCAGAAGAAGCACCGGCUAACUCCGUGCCAGCAGCCGCGGUAAUACGGAGGGUGCAAGCGUUAAUCGGAAUUACUGGGCGUAAAGCGCACGCAGGCGGUCUGUCAAGUCGGAUGUGAAAUCCCCGGGCUCAACCUGGGAACUGCAUUCGAAACUGGCAGGCUAGAGUCUUGUAGAGGGGGGUAGAAUUCCAGGUGUAGCGGUGAAAUGCGUAGAGAUCUGGAGGAAUACCGGUGGCGAAGGCGGCCCCCUGGACAAAGACUGACGCUCAGGUGCGAAAGCGUGGGGAGCAAACA
rnacentral:rRNA from 1 species